CAUUAGAUGACUGAAAGCAAGUAAUGGUCUCUUAAAUCAAAAUAUAGUAAAUUAGCACCUACUUCUAAUGG
rnacentral:tRNA from 1 species